ACCUGUUGUGGCGCCAGCCGCAGUGCAGGGUAGCUACGUGCGGACGGGAUAACCUCUGAAAGCAUCUAAGCGGGAAGCCUACCUCAAGAUAAGAUUUCCCUAGGACUUUAUGUCCUCUAAAGAGCCGUUGAAGACUACGACGUUGAUAGGUUGGAUGUGGAAGCAUAGUGAUAUGUGAAGCUGACCAAUACUAAUUGCUCGU
rnacentral:rRNA from 1 species